GUGCCAGCAGCCGCGGUAAUACAGAGGGUGCAAGCGUUAAUCGGAAUUACUGGGCGUAAAGCGCGCGUAGGUGGUUCGUUAAGUUGGAUGUGAAAGCCCCGGGCUCAACCUGGGAACUGCAUUCAAAACUGGCGAGCUAGAGUAUGGUAGAGGGUGGUGGAAUUUCCUGUGUAGCGGUGAAAUGCGUAGAUAUAGGAAGGAACACCAGUGGCGAAGGGACCACCUGGACUGAUACUGACACUGAGGUGCGAAAGCGUGGGGAGCAACAGGAUUAGAUACCCGUAGUCAGCC
rnacentral:rRNA from 1 species